rnacentral:rRNA from 1 species
UGGGGAAUUUUGGACAAUGGGCGAAAGCCUGAUCCAGCAAUGCCGCGUGUGUGAAGAAGGCCUUCGGGUUGUAAAGCACUUUUGUCCGGAAAGAAAUCCUUGGCUCUAAUACAGUCGGGGGAUGACGGUACCGGAAGAAUAAGCACCGGCUAACUACGUGCCAGCAGCCGCGGUAAUACGUAGGGUGCAAGCGUUAAUCGGAAUUACUGGGCGUAAAGCGUGCGCAGGCGGUUUGCUAAGACCGAUGUGAAAUCCCCGGGCUCAACCUGGGAACUGCAUUGGUGACUGGCAGGCUAGAGUAUGGCAGAGGGGGGUAGAAUUCCACGUGUAGCAGUGAAAUGCGUAGAGAUGUGGAGGAAUACCGAUGGCGAAGGCAGCCCCCUGGGCCAAAUACUGACGCUCAUGCAUCGAAAAGCGUGGGGGAGCAAAACAGGAUUAGAUACCCUGGUAGUCCACGCCCUAAAACGAUGUCAACUAGUUGUU